GAUUUGUGAGUGUGAUGAAGUAUCAGUAUCACUCAGCAGGACCUGUUGAGGAGCCAGUGUUUGGGGUUGGCCCAUGACAGCACUGAUUCAUCCUUUUAAAAUCUAAACCUAAAUUAAUAAAAACCUUGUAAUUAACAUCUACAGGAGGACAGAGCUCCAGUUGCUACUUGUGCAUCUCCUCUGGUCGUCAUGGAAAUCUGGACUGACUGAACUGCAGACUUAUUUCCAAGUGUACAUGUUGCACAAUCAGACACCGACUUUAGGAGAGUGUUUACUCCCCUGUUUACCAAUAUUGGCUAGAGGAGCUCUUGAGAUAAACACAAGAGGUGCAGUCACAGAGAGAAGUGCUUGAUGAAUUGGUUAUUGUGUUCCUCAGCCCAAUAAUCUGGGCACAGUCUCCUCUCCAGAAAUUCACUAACAGCAAGAAUCAACAAGAAGGUGCUGCUGGCUGUGCCCCUUUCAUUGCCCAUCUGGCUGCCUCCCAGCUGCUCCCUGGCUGACUCUGUGCUCGGCUCCCAGCGUGGUGGGAGCUGCUGCUCGUCGCUAUCGCCGUCCCUUUUUCUCAGCAUUGGUCUGCAGGAUGCUGAAGCAUCCUGAUGGAGGAGGCAUCCACUCCUUGGCACCACAGUGGACAUCCCUUUCCUGGUGCUCACCCCCAGGCAGGAUGCUAAGGAGCCACCCCGCUUCCGUGCAGCACCUUCACUGUGUGGCAGAAGUCAUGGGAGAAGAUAAUCGGGCCUGGAGGACAGAAUGCAGAAUUUGGUUCAGGAGAAACCCAGUAAACCCAAAACAGGAAAUGGAAUUUAAUGAGAGGUGCCUGUGCUCUGACAACCACAUGGGCUGAGAGGAGUCUGGCCAGCACCACACAUGAUCAGAAAUAGAAAUCCUGACUUCAGCCAGAAGUGACUGGAAGAGUUUUGGCUGGAUGUUGCACAAAAAGAACAGUGGUGUGAGAAGAUGCCAUGCUAUGAGCUGAACUCUGAAACUGAGCCAGGAGGGUCGAGAGGAGGAGGAGCAACCCUCAAACCUGGAAUCAUUAGGUUGCAAAGAAUGAGGCUCAUACUGGUUUUACCACCUAUUUCUGUCCUGCUGGUGUACGCAGCUCUUGUCUAAGAUGAAGUUUUGAUGGGUACACAAAUCCAAUGGCUGCCAAGAAGCUGAUAUCGCAUGAAAUAUUUCAUCUCAGCUGCGUUGAGCUCAUCUAGACUUUGGUAUUAGUGAAAACUAAGUGUGUAAAAAAUGUCAGUAUUCAAGAGGGGAAAGAAAAAACCUAUUCUGAUUAUUAAAUAUGAGUAAGUAAGGCAGUUAUGUUUCUUAAAAAUGUUAUAAUUUUUAGAAAGAGUUACCUGGUUCUCCUGGGCAAUUUUUAAAUAUGAGCCAAAUAGGUGCUUUUAAG